rnacentral:tRNA from 1 species
AACUUACUGUUUUUCAAGAUUAUAGUUUGGGACUCAUAAUCGCUUGGUCGCUGGUUCAAGUCCAGCAGGGGCCACCA